rnacentral:rRNA from 1 species
GAUGAACGCUGGCGGCGUGCCUAAUACAUGCAAGUCGAGCGAACGGACGAGAAGCUUGCUUCUCUGAUGUUAGCGGCGGACGGGUGAGUAACACGUGGAUAACCUACCUAUAAGACUGGGAUAAAUUCGGGAAACCGGAGCUAAUAUCGGAUGAUAUUUUGAACCGCAUGGUUCAAAAGUGAAAGACGGUCUUGCUGUCACUUAUAGAUGGAUCCGCGCUGCAUUAGCUAGUUGGUAAGGUAACGGCUUACCAAGGCAACGAUGCAUAGCCGACCUGAGAGGGUGAUCGGCCACACUGGAACUGAGACACGGUCCAGACUCCUACGGGAGGCAGCAGUAGGGAAUCUUCCGCAAUGGGCGAAAGCCUGACGGAGCAACGCCGCGUGAGUGAUGAAGGUCUUCGGAUCGUAAAACUCUGUUAUUAGGGAAGAACAUAUGUGUAAGUAACUGUGCACAUCUUGACGGUACCUAAUCAGAAAGCCACGGCUAACUACGUG